GUAUUGUCUAAAAGAAGUUAGCAUGCCCAUUAACAAAGAUAGAAGGGGCCCUGGAGCCUAAAACAUGAAUCAAGGGUUGCCACUUAUUUUUUUUU
rnacentral:ncRNA from 1 species